rnacentral:lncRNA from 1 species
GAGCCAAAUGGGGCAAGGUUGGCGUAUCAUCAUCUGAUGAAAGUACAGCACUGCCGCUGUUUCCACACUAAGAAUACUCAUAACCUAUCCCAACCUGAGUGGACAUAUAAAUUCAGAGGGAAAAAUCACAAACUAUACUAUACCGAUACAGCUAGAUAUCAAGAUUCUAAGGACACAAUGUCUAAACUAAAUUACCCAACAAACAGUUUGAAUCAUGAAUAGAAUAUAGUUAACAUAACCCCCCAUGCAAACGGUCAUCACGUAUCAGCUAGUAAGAAAGGAGGGAACAAAUCUUGAUUAACAGAACAAUGGAGCACCAUCUUUAGAGAUUGUACAAACUGUAAAACAAAACAAAAAACGGUCAGAGUAAAAAAACAUGACUGGAUAUAUAUACAGCUGGAUAUCAAGAUUCUCUGGAGAAAUGCUUAAACUAAAAUACUAAUAAAAAAUGAAUCAUGGGCCAUUCAAAAACAACUUCAUAUAGAUAUAUACCCAACAAAGAGUUUGAAUCAUGAAUAUGCAAUGCACAUCGCUGACAUGACCCACCAUGCAAACGAUCAUCAUAAAUACCUUUGGAACCCACAACUCAACAUAAACAUGACAAAGACAAACAUGUAUACCAAAUAGCAUCUGAAAACAUAUCAGGGAAGAUAAUUUUCUGGCAGAACCAAGCAUGCGUAUGCAACUAUCUAAAUAUAUGUGCUAAACAGCCACUGGAAACAUUGCUAUAGAACAGACCGGAUAAAGCAAUUUCCACACAGAACAAUGCAUGCAUGUUUGCACAACCAAUCAAACACAUGUAUAGAAUAUAUACUGACAAACAAUUAGUCUAGAAAGACUAACUAUGCCGGAGCAAGUUGAUCAUGAAACUCCAUACCAAGACAUCUCCAGAUUUUUCCGGAAAUGAGAGUUCAGUAAGCUACUACCUUCAGCCUCCUAACUGAUUUGAGAGCAACAUUUAUUAGUUUUUAGAAACAUGAAAAAAACAUUAGGCACAUUUGAAUAAACAUUUAAGAGAAGGGAACUGCAAAACGAAAUUCAGUAAACAGAAACGCCACUAUAGCUCAUGACUAAAUUGACUCUCUUUCAGUAAAAAGUAGGAAAGUGUAACCACCUUAGUAAAAAUAGAAUGAGCAUGCUACCAUGCCCUUGCGCAGGUUCAAGCUACAUUCGAAGAAGGGACGUCUAUUGAACAAAAACUGGGUCGAUAGUAUUUUGCAAUAGCUAACUAUGCAACUUUUCUCCACGAACAUGAGAUAAUUUAAAUGGCAGGAUCAUGUUUGUUUUCCCCUUAUUUUCAGUUGGAUUGUAAUAACUCAGCAGCAAAGAGUACACCACAGUGGUUUAGUCUACUAAUCUGAUUCAAUUCAAGAAUGGGUAGCCUAUUCUCUUGUAUAUGUCAGCAAGCUCUUUUUUGUACUCAAGUCAAAACUAAGCAUAAAUACCUACUCACCUACAUAAGUUGUUGUUGCACAUGCCCAUGUAUUUGGUGCAAGUUGAGGCCUCCUUUAAGUAACAUUAUGACCACUCUUCAAGUCUUCAUACCUACAAACACCAUCAAAGUAUGAAGUCUAACCGAGGUGGAACCGUGUAAGGACUAAAGAAAGGGAAAGUGUUUGAUUCAUAAGCAAAGAGAGCAAGAGACCGAACUUUCAGAACAUUUAGGUUUAUUAGUAAGGAAACAGUGGUAACAUUUUCUUAGUAAUUAAGCUCGAUGGAAAUAAAGGUACUUUUCAUGUAUGACGCCCAAAAAAAGUUUAAACAUCUUUUCCUUUUGCUGUACCAUGAUCAUACCACAAUGUGAGAUGCAGACAGGGAAAAGUUCAGAUCCAAAAUCAUAUCUCAUAGAUAUGUUUGUACAUUAAGGAAAAGAAAAACAUUACUGGCAUUCUGCAAAAACACAUUAAGAAAUGGAGCUUUUGGACCAGUGAAUUACACUGGUAUUCUCAAAAUACCACAUCUACAAUCUCACUGGUGAGAACCAGUGCAGGAUUAAGAAACAAAAUACCACAUCUACAAUCUCACUGGUGAGAACCAGUGCAGGAUUAAGAAAUUAUCUAUGUCUAUAGGCUUUUUAUGAAUGAUACCAGACUUUUUUUAUUGCAAGAAUCAAUGCUAGCAGGCUGUUCUGUUGAGUUACUCAGCGGAAGAUGCCGCAACCAAUAGAAAUUGGCAGUAGAUUUCAUCUAUGCCUGCUGCUCCAUCCUGCAGUAAUUAUUUAGAACAACAAAUAAGAUGAUUGUCAGAUUAGAGAAGGCACACUUCUUGCAUAAAAAAGAGAAGGCCACACUAAAUAAGCACGUUCCUAGCAUGUAUCUAUAAACAUAGAGAUGCUACUGAUAAAUAUAAACAACAACAACAACAAAGCCUUUAGUCCCAAACAAGUUGGGGUAGGCUAGAGGUGAAACCCAUAAGAUCUCGCAACCAACUCAUGGCUCUGGCACAUGGAUAGCAAGCUUCCACGCACCCCUGUCCAUAGCUAGCUCUUUGUCGAUACUCCAAUCCUUCAGGUCUCUCUUAACGGACUCCUCCCAUGUCAAACUCGGUCGACCCCGCCCUCUCUUGACAUUCUCCGCACGCUUUAGCCGUCCGCUAUGCACUGGAGCUUCUGGAGGCCUGCGCUGAAUAUGCCCAAACCAUCUCAAACGAUGUUGGACAAGCUUCUCCUCAAUUGGUGCUACCCCAACUCUAUCUCGUAUAUCAUCAUUCCGGACUCGAUCCUUCCUCGUGUGGCCACACAUCCAUCUCAACAUACGCAUCUCCGCCACACCUAACUGUUGAACAUGUCGCCUUUUAGUCGGCCAACACUCCGCGCCAUACAACAUUGCGGGUCGAACCGCUGUCCUGUAGAACUUGCCUUUUAGCUUUUGUGGCACUCUCUUGUCACAGAGAAUGCCAGAAGCUUGGCGCCACUUCAUCCAUCCGGCUUUGAUUCGAUGGUUCACAUCUUCAUCAAUACCCCCAUCCUCCUGCAACAUUGACCCCAAAUACCGAAAGGUGUCCUUCCGAGGUACCACCUGGCCAUCAAGGCUAACCUCCUCCUCCUCACAGCUAGUAGUACUGAAACCGCACAUCAUGUACUCGGUUUUAGUUCUACUAAGCCUAAACCCUUCCGAUUCCAAGGUUUGUCUCCAUAACUCUAACUUCCUAUUUACCCCCAUCCGACUAUCGUCAACUAGCACCACAUCAUCCGCAAAGAGCAUACACCAUGGGAUAUCUCCUUGUAUACCCCUUGUGACCUCAUCCAUCACCAAUGCAAAAAGAUAAGGGCUCAAAGCUGACCCCUGAUGCAGUCCUAUCUUAAUCGGGAAGUCAUCGGUGUCGACAUCACUUGUUCGAACACUUGUCACAACAUUAUUGUACAUGUCCUUGAUGAGGGUAAUGUACUUUGCUGGGACUUUGUGUUUCUCCAAGGCCCACCACAUGACAUUCCGCGGUAUCUUAUCAUAGGCCUUCUCCAAGUCAAUGAACACCAUAUGCAAGUCCUUCUUAUGCUCCCUAUAUCUCUCCAUAAGUUGUCGUACCAAGAAAAUGGCUUCCAUGGUCGACCUAUAACGGAACUAUUUCCCACAGCAAAAGGAAAAUAUGCAUGUGGCUAGAAAGAAUAAGCAUGUAGCUAGAAAGAAGGAAGCAAACAUCAAGCAGCAGAACAUAGUUACAGCAAAGCAGGAGAUCAAGAUGCAGCAACAAAGGAGAUCCUAGAACCAGCUAAAUAA